AUGAACGCUGGCGCGUGCCUAACACAUGCAAGUCGAGCGAUUCUCUUCGGAGAAGAGCGGCGGACGGGUGAGUAACGCGUGGGUAACCUGCCCUGUACACACGGAUAACAUACCGAAAGGUAUGCUAAUACGAGAUAAUAUACUUUUAUCGCAUGGUAGAAGUAUCAAAGCUUUUGCGGUACAGGAUGGACCCGCGUCUGAUUAGCUAGUUGGUAAGGUAACGGCUUACCAAGGCGACGAUCAGUAGCCGACCUGAGAGGGUGAUCGGCCACAUUGGAACUGAGACACGGUCCAAACUCCUACGGGAGGCAGCAGUGGGGAAUAUUGCACAAUGGGCGAAAGCCUGAUGCAGCAACGCCGCGUGAGCGAUGAAGGCCUUCGGGUCGUAAAGCUCUGUCCUCAAGGAAGAUAAUGACGGUACUUGAGGAGGAAGCCCCGGCUAACUACGUG
rnacentral:rRNA from 1 species